GUGGGGAAUAUUGGACAAUGGGCGAAAGCCUGAUCCAGCCAUGCCGCGUGUGUGAAGAAGGUCUUCGGAUUGUAAAGCACUUUAAGUUGGGAGGAAGGGCAGUAAGUUAAUACCUUGCUGUUUUGACGUUACCGACAGAAUAAGCACCGGCUAACUUCGUGCCAGCAGCCGCGGUAAUACGAAGGGUGCAAGCGUUAAUCGGAAUUACUGGGCGUAAAGCGCGCGUAGGUGGUUUUGUAAGUUGGAGGUGAAAUCCCCGGGCUCAACCUGGGAACUGCCUCCAAAACUGCAUGACUAGAGUACGGUGGAGGGUAGUGGAAUUUCCUGUGUAGCGGUGAAAUGCGUAGAUAUAGGAAGGAACACCAGUGGCGAAGGCGACUACCUGGACUGAUACUGACACUGAGGUGCGAAAGCGUGGGGAGCAAACAGGAUUAGAAACCCCUGUAGUCC
rnacentral:rRNA from 1 species